UCACAACACACACCUCUAAUGUUUAUGUC
rnacentral:sRNA from 1 species